rnacentral:tRNA from 1 species
UAGCCUAGUGGUUAAGGCUAUGGAUUGCCAAUCCGGAGACGGCGGGUUCGAUUCACGU